GCGUCCGUGGCCCAACCGGCAGAGGCGCCGGCUUGAGGAGCCGGAGGCUGCGGGUUCGAAUCCCGCCGGGCGCACGA
rnacentral:tRNA from 1 species